GAUUCUUGUGUCUCAGCCUUCCGAGUAGCUGGGAUUACAGCCCUGUCACCUGGAGAACUGCCUGGCACAGAGUAGGUGCCAGUGUUAAUGAGUGAUCCACAUCUUCAGUUGCUUCCAGAAUAGACCCGGCUUGACAGAUGGAUCAAGAAGGGAGAAAAACCUUCCCUAUUGGAGAACUUCUGACACUUCAUUGUCUGCUAGCAGAAUAUGGGAAGAUUUUGAGCUGUGCAGUUCAUUAGGCAUUUAGUGCAUGCCUCCAUGUGUGGGGUGUUGGUGACAUGGAGUAUGGGGCAGCAAUAAAGAUGUGUCCCUCAGCCAGACACAGUGGCUCAUGCCUGUAAUCCCAAAACUUUGAGAGCAUAAGGUGAGAAGAUUGCUUGAGCUCAGGAGUUCGAGACCAGCCUGGGCAACAUAGCAAGACCUUGUCUUUACUAAAAAUAAAAAAUAAAAAAUUAGCUGAGUAUGGUGGUAUGUGCCUGUAGUCCCAGCUACUUGGGAGUCUGGGGCAAGAGGAUCACUGGAGCCCAGGGUGUCUACGCUGCAGUAAUCUGUGGUCAUGCCGCUGCAUUCCAGCCUGGGUGACAGAGCGAGACCCUGUCUCAAAAAACAAAACAUUUACAUGUAUGUAAAAUGUCCCUAUAUGUAUACUCGAGAACAGGGUUUGGCAAACUAUACCUGCAACUGGCCACUGUUUUUUUUUGUUUUUCGCUAAAGCUUUAUUGGACAUGCCUAUGCCCACGCAUUCCCAUAUUAUCUGCAGCUGCUUUAGCUCCACGGCAGCAGGGUUGAGCAGCUGUGGCAGAGAGAGGGUGGCCUGUGAAGCUGGCCACCUGGAAAUACUUAUCAUCUGGCCCUUGAAGGAAAAGUGUGCUGACCCUACUCAGGGUGUGAAGAAAAGAACAGAGAAGGGCUGCUUAGGAAAACAGGGCUAGGCCAAGAAGGCCGACUCAGUUAGGGGAGUUUGGGGAGGGGUUCCUGGAGAGUGGUGUGUCUUGAGACCUGGGGAGAGGGGAUGCCAUGGACUAAGGCCCAGCAGUGGGGAGCCCAGCUGUGUUCAGGAUGUAGCAAGACAGUCAUUCUGCUGAUAGCUUAUUUUUCCUCUUUUGAUAACUAUUUUUUUUUUAAAAGUCUGGAGAAAGAAAGAAAAGGACAGAAAAUCCGUGUGGGGGCUAUUUUAGCCAGAGCUGUCUGGUUGUAAGGAGUAGCUGUAGGAGGAACUUUUCCCUGAGCCCAGGGAGGAAGCACAGCCAUCCUUGGGGUCAUGGGACUGUGAAGGGUGUUGCUCCCCUUUCUCAGCCCUUCUGGUCUUAGCCCUUACCUCUUUCUGCCUCAGGGUGCACAGAACUUCAAGUGACUGUCUCAGUCUGGCUAGCCUGGAUCUUCCCACUCCCAUCACCUUACAGACUCUUCUCAUUGGCCCAGCCUGGGGCAGGGCAGGUGGCACUCAUGGAGUGGCCAGAUGGGCACUUCUCAAAGAGGAAGGCUGUUUGGGCCUUUGGAGCCUUUCCCAGACAUGCAUAGAGUAUGGAGAGAAGAAGUAUUCUUCAAGUGUGUUUGAGUUAUGGACACUAAGUGUGGUCGGCUAUGCCCUGGGAACACAGGAGUGAACAGUGCAGACAUGACCUGUGCCCUCAGGAAGCUUUACUUUUUUUUUCGAGACAGAGCCUUGCUCUGUCGCCCAGGCUGGAGUGCAGUGGUGCAAUCUCAGCUUACUGCAGCUUCCGCCUCCCGGAUUCGAGCAGUUCUCUGCCUCAGCCUCCAGAGUAGCUGGGAUUACAGGCACCCGCACCACACCUGGCUAAUUUUUGUGUUUUUAGUAGAGACGAGGUUUCAACAUCUUGGCCAGGCUGGUCUUGAACUCCUGACCUUGUGAUCCACCCGCCUCGGCUUCCCAAAGUGCUGGGAUUACAGGCGUGAGCCACUGCACCUGGCUGUUUCACUUACAUAUCUAUAUAUGUAUAUAUAUAUAUAGGUUUACUAUAUACUGAUAUAUAGGAAGCCAGGAGUGACAAGUACUACUUAGAAGCAGCCAAGGCAAGGCAAGGUGGAUGUGGUGCAUGGGGGAAGGGGCCUUGUUUGCCAGAGAAGACUUGGCUGACGUUUGCUUUUGGAGGAUAUAGGGGUAUGGAGAAAGAAAACCCCCAGUGUUGUUACUUAUUACUUCUUACUCAACUAUUUCCAAAAAUAAUUUAAGGUAGUGCAUUGAAGUUUUUCUGGGCCUAGGGUAUGAUAUGUUAGGGCGUAGAUUUGGAGGGCUGUGACAUGAGCUAUGAAUUUACUUUGAACAACACCAUAGGGUGUUUUUUUUUUUUGUUUUUUUUUUUAAUAGAAUGGACACUGUUAAAAUAUUCUGCUGGGCGGGGUAGCUCAGGCCUGUAGUCUGAGGUGGGAGAGUCAUUUGACUUUGAGGCACCAUGAUUGUGCCUGUGAAUAGCCACCACUGCACUCUGGCCUGGGCAACAUAGUAAGACCCCAUCUCUAAAAAAUAAAAAAGAAUGUUCUGUUGCUAAAUCUCUAUUCAGUGAAUGAACUCUUUCUCAGUAUAGUUUGGGAAAUUAGAAGGCUUUUUUUUUCCUUUUUCCUGCAUUAGUCUUUAAAAAAAUUUUUUGUUAACUUUAUGGACACAGUAGUUACAUGUGUGGGGUAUAUAUGAUAUUUUGAUACAAGCAUAGAAUGUGUAAUGAUCAAAUCAUGGUAAUUGGGGUAUCUGUCACUUCAAGCAUUUGUAACUUUUCUUGUGUUAGGAACAUUCUGAUUCUACUCAUUUAGUUAUUUUGAAGUAUAGAAUAAACCAUUAUUAACUAUAGUUAACUGUGUUUUUGUACCUAUUAACCAACCUCUUUUUCUCACCUCUGCCUUUCCCAGCCUCUGGUAACCACUACUCCACUCUCUAGCUCCAUGAGUUUAACUUUUUUUAAGCUCCCACAUAUGAAUGAGAACAUGUGAAGUUUGUCUUUCUGUGCCUGGCUUAUUUCACUUAACAUAAUGUCCUCCAGUUCCAUUCAUGUUCCAUUUUUAUGGCAAAAUAAUAAGAAGUUAGAAAUUUUUAAUAAAACUGAAGACCUAGAAUACACUGAGGAGGAAUGGAGGGUUCCAGGUUCUUGGUCUAAUGGUUAAUUGUGGCUGAGGAAGACAGACAUUAGGCCAGAAGAGCAUGUCCCAAUUGCUGAUUUACUCAUCAAAUAGUGCUUCAGUACCAGUCAUGGGGCAAGCCCUGGAUUUAUAAUUAUGAAAAGGACCUAGCUCCUGUAUGGAUGGCGGGGGUGAGAUCUGGUAGGCCAAGGCUGUCUUUUCCAGAGAAGCAAGCACGUUAGGUGGGCCAUGAUUCAAUUUAGUUCUUCAGUUCCAGGCAUAUCUAGUCCUAGAACACAGGGUGCCUGGAUUUUUAGCCUUGUGGUCAGUAUCUUUUGAUCUCAAAAUUGUUUCCUGAUUUUUUAAACAGAAAUCUAUUUCAUGAUAGUUAAAAAAAGCCUUAUUGAGGUAUAAUUGACUUAUAAUAAAUGAUACAUAAAGUGUAAAAUUUGAGUUGUUUUUUUUUUUUUUUUUGAGACGGAGUCUUGCGCUGUUGCCCAGGCUGGAGGGCAGUGGCGCGAUCUGGGCUCACUGCCAGCUCUGCUUCCUGGGUUCACGCCAUUCUUCUGCCUCAGCCUCCCGAGUAGCUGGGACUACAGGCGCCCGCCACCACGCCCGGCUAAUUUUUUGUAUUUUCAGUAGAGACGGGGUUUCACCGUGUUAGCCAGGAUGGUCUUCAUCUCCUGACUUCAUGAUUUGCCUGCCUCGGUCUCCCAAAGUGCUGGGAUUACAGGUGUGAGCCACCGCGCCUGGCCAAGUUUUUUGUUUUUUUGAGACAGAAUUUUGCUCUUGUUGCCUAGGCUGAAGAGCAGUGGCGUGAUUUCGACUCACUGCAACCUCUGCCUCCCAAGUUCAAGCGAUUCUCCUGCCUCAGCCUCCUGAAUAGCUGGGAUUAUAGGCAUGCACCACCACGCCUGGCUAAUUUUGUAUUUUUAGUAGAGAUGGGGUUUUUCCAUGUUGGUCAGGCUGGUCUCGAACUCCCGACCUCAGGUGAUCCAUUCACCUCAGCCUCCCAAAGUGCUGGGAUUAUAGGCGUGAGCCUCUGCACACGGCCAAAUUUGAGUUUUCAUAUAUGUAUAAAUCUGUGAAACCGUCACCACAGUCAAGAUAACAAACACAGCGUAUCGUCACCCCAAACAUUUUCUCGUGCUCCUUUGUAAUCCCUCCCACCCCCAUCCCUUUCUGUCUUGAUAGCUGCAAGUGCAUUUUUUAGAUUUUUAUAUAAAUGUUGUCAUACAGUAGGUAUUCUUUUGAGUACAUACUGGCUUCUUCACUCAAUAUAAUUAUUUUGAGAUUCAUCCAUGCUGCGGAAUGUGUUAAUAGCUUAUUCCUUUUUAUUGCUGAGUAGUAUUCCAUUGUAUGGCUGUACACAACUUACCAAUUUGCUUCUUGAUAGACACUGUUUGUUUCCAGCUUUUGGAUAUUACAAAUAAAAGUACUAUGAACAA